rnacentral:rRNA from 1 species
GGUCAAGAAACUAAGGGCGCAAGGCGGAUGCCUUGGCACCAGGAGGCGAAGAAGGACGUGACAAGCAACGAAAACCUCGAAUAGGAGCAAAUAUCCAGUAACUCGGGGGAAUCCGAAUGGGGAAACCUACUAGACACACUCUAGUAUCCAUACGUAAAUACAUAGCGUAUGGAGGCGAAUGUUCUGAACUGAAACAUCUAAGUAGGAACAAGAAAAGAAAGAAAACUCGAUUCUCCAAGUAGCGGCGAGCGAACAGAGAACAGCCCAUUAAAGUAAGACUAAACUGAUAGACAAAUCUUAUGGAAAGAAGAACCAAAGAAAGUAACAGUCUUGUAGUCGAAAUCAGAAUAGAGACACUUUAAGAAGAGUACCACGGAGCACGUGAAAUUCUGUGGGAAGAUAGGGGGACCACCCCCUAAGGCUAAAUACUACCUGGUGACCGAUAGCGAAUAGUACCGUGAGGGAAAGGUGAAAAGAACCCCGGGAGGGGAGUGAAACAGAACCUGAAACCUUGCGCCUACAAGCAGACAGAGGAAGAAGACUUCUAAUGUCGUACUUUUUGUAGAACGGGCCAGCGAGUUACGAUACGUAGCAAGAUUAAACAUUUAAGAUGUGAAGUCGCAGGGAAACCGAGUCUUAAUAGGGCGAAAGUUGCGUGUUGUAGACCCGAAACCGGGUGAUCUAUCCAUGGGCAGAGUGAAGGUAAAGUAAAAUUUACUGGAGGCUCGAACCGGGUAGCGUUUAAAAGCUAUCGGAUGACCUGUGGAUAGGGGUGAAAAGCCAAUCGAACUCGGAUAUAGCUGGUUCUCCUCGAAAUAGCUUUAGGGCUAGCCUUGUUUUAGAUUACAGGAGGUAGAGCACUGAAUAGUCUAGGGGAAGUAAUUCUACCGAAACUUAUCAAACUCCGAAUGCCUGAAAAUCGAUGAACAGGAGUCAGACCAUGAGGGAUAAGCUUCAUAGUCAAAAGGGAAACAGCCCAGACCACCAGUUAAGGUCCCAAAAUACAGAUUAAGUGGGAAAGGAUGUAAUACUACUCAGACAACCAGGAUGUUGGCUCAGAAGCAGCCAUACAUUUAAAGAGUGCGUAAUAGCUCACUGGUCAAGUGGUAAUGCGCCGAAGAUGAACGGGGCUAAAUCUGAUACCGAAACUGUGGGAUAGAAAAGCAAUUAUGCGAGAAGUAUGAAGUAAAAGUGAUUAGGAAAUAUAUCAACUAGUAAAGUAAGAGAGAAAGACAUUAAAUAAAACUAUUAAACGAUACAAUUUCUAAAACACUUAACAACAUACAACUGGCAUAAUAGCUUUUCUAUCGGUAGAGGAGCGUUGUAUAUGAAUUGAAGCAAAAAGCGUAAGCAAUUGUGGAUUAUAUACAAGUGAGAAUGCUGGCAUGAGUAGCGAAAAGGGAUGUGAGAAUCAUCCCCGUCGAAAGCCCAAGGAUUCCUGAGCAAGGCUCGUCCUCUCAGGGUAAGUCGGGACCUAAGGCGAGGCCGAAAGGCGUAGUCGAUGGACAACAGGUAGAAAUUCCUGUACUACAAGAUUGUGAUUGAGAGAAGUACUGACGCAGAAGGAAAAGUCGAGCGUGUGAAUGGUAGAACACGUCCAAGUAACAAGCCAGAAUAUACAGGCAAAUCCGUAUAUUCGUUAACGUAAGUUAUCAUGGGGAGCAGAAAGAUGCGAAGCGACAGAUUCAAACUGCCAAGAAAAGGUGCUAUCGAAUAAUCUUGUACCCGUACCGCAAACCGACACAGGUAGGCAAGAAGAGAAUUCUAAGACGCGCGGAAGAACCUUUGUUAAGGAACUCGGCAAAAUAAUCCCGUAAGUUAGCGAGAAGGGAUGCCUAAGAAAUUAGGUCGCAGAGAAUAGGCCCAAGCGACUGUUUACCAAAAACACAAGUAUCUGCUAAAUCGAAAGAUGAAGUAUAGGUGCUGACACCUGCCCGGUGCUGGAAGGUCAAGGGGACUUGUUAGAGCAAUCGAAGCAACGAACUUAAGCCCCAGUAAACGGCGGCCGUAACUAUAACGGUCCUAAGGUAGCGAAAUUCCUUGUCGGGUAAGUUCCGACCCGCACGAAAGGUGUAACGA